rnacentral:sRNA from 1 species
UUAUUUUAAAUUGGAAUUUUCAAUGUGAACAACAUUUAUCUUUUUUUUAGGUGCAUAUAUGGGCCAUUUCGGAUCUAAUACUAAUGCAAAAUACGAUUUCCAUUUCUGAUCGCCGAGUUGAAGGAGGAAAUAAAAGGACAAGAAGCAGACAAGAAUGCCUAGAAAACAGAUCAGACCCAGAACGACAGCGAGGACCUGGCGGCGCAGAAUUUGGAAUAGAAUCGAUUUAGUUGCGUAUCAUUUUCUGACCGCCGAUUGCAAAAGAGAAAUUCAGCUUUAUGGAGACCAAGAUCUGCAUAUGGACGAUUGGAUUAUCUGGCGGGAUAUGAUUCGCAUCAUCGACUGAAAUAGAAAAGGAUAGAUCUAUUCCAGGAGACGCCAGAAGCGCAUUUACUUUAUGUAGCUGUAAAUUUCCCGGCAAACAUCUGGAUCAUUUCGCAUCUAAUACUAAUAAAAAAUGCUGUAAGUCAUUCCGUUUGAAACGCCAAUAAGGAACGGCGAUGGGCUAUCGUUAUUUGUGAGUUUUUAAAUGAAAAAAACACAUUUGCUCUGAAGGCAAUACUGGAAAACUUGCAAUGCCGCCUGUUGGAAAGGCCAAGAAAAAAAAUAUAAAGCCAAUCGUAAGGAGUGAAAAAGUUACGCAUGUGGAUCAGCUUUCGAUUUCUGAUCGCCUGAGUUAAAGGACACUGAUAAUGGAAAGACGGCAGAAGAAACCGGAACGACUUCAAUGAUCGGGCGGCGCAGAAAGCGGAAUUGCGGCCCGUCUUUCAGAAGCUCGAUUAUGUGGCCCAAUGAUGAUUUACAUGCAAUCAUUACUGAUUGCCGAAUUAAAUAGAUCUAGUUCGAGUUGAAGAUGGUCAUUCGAAUAAUGACAAAACAUCAAGGAGAAGUGGAUCCCUAACAACUCAUCCCUAACAAGUGGCAAGAAACAAACUCAUGAUUAAUGGUGAAGUACUGCUAAGUACUUUUUGUAAAAGACGGGCCCACGAGAGAUGAAGCCAUUAGAACAUGAAUGUAUUACUUGGAUAAUACCGUCAUAAUAUUUUAGGUUUCCACCUAAACUUCUUAACAAUUUAUCUUAAAUUUGGUGUAAGGACAUUCUAGGGACAAAGCCAACAAUCCUUUCGACUCAGCCAUUUGGGAGGGACUGGCUAAUAGGAAACUCUCGUGCCUGGACUACAAAAUCGGAAAACUAACUCAACUUAUCAUGGAAAGCUGAAAUAUUCAUAUUUUUUGUACAUCCAUCAAAUUUUUUAUCUUCAACCGGAAACGUCAGGGAACUCAACAAGCGCCGUUGGAAUAUUAUUUUUUUUAGCAUUGAUUACUAUAUAAGACUUUUCAUAUUCAAAACACAUUAAUAUUUAAAAUCAUUAAUUCAGAUUGUUCAAUCCAUUGUUCAUUUUUGAAAAGUUAGAAAAGUUUAUAUAUAAUUCAUGCUCAAUUCAA